rnacentral:rRNA from 1 species
GUCUUGAAACACGGACCAAGGAGUCUAGCAUGUGCGCGAGUCAUUGGGAAAAACUAAACCUAAAGGCGCAAUGAAAGUGAAGGUCCGCCUCGCGCGGACCGAGGGAGGAUGGGCGGUGUCCCCGUACGAUGGCCCGCCCCGCACUCCCGGGGCGUCUCGUUCUCAUUGCGAGAAGAGGCGCACCAAGAGCGUACACGCUGGGACCCGAAAGAUGGUGAACUAUGCCUGGUCAGGACGAAGUCAGGGGAAACCCUGAUGGAGGUCCGUAGCGAUUCUGACGUGCAAAUCGAUCGUCGGAACUGGGUAUAGGGGCGAAAGACUAAUCGAACCAUCUAGUAGCUGGUUCCCUCCGAAGUUUCCCUCAGGAUAGCUGGCGCUCGUCGCCUACGAGUCUCAUCCGGUAAAGCGAAUGAUUAGAGGCAUUGGGGUCGAAACGGCCUCAACCUAUUCUCAAACUUUAAAUGGGUGAGAUCUCCGGCUUGCUCGAACUACUGAAGCCGCGAGACACGGAUCAGAGUGCCAAGUGGGCCAUUUUUGGUAAGCAGAACUGGCGCUGUGGGAUGAACCAAACGCCGAGUUAAAGCGCCUAAAUCGACGCUUAUGGGAUACCAUGAAAGGCGUUGGUAACUUAAGACAGCAGGACGGUGGCCAUGGAAGUCGGAAUCCGCUAAGGAGUGUGGU